GGUCGUGUGAGCGCCCGGGUCGUCACCGGGCUCUACGUGCCCGGCGACCGGCCGGACCGGUUCGAUAAGGCGGUCGCGACCG
rnacentral:tRNA from 1 species